GGGGAAUAUUGGUCAAUGGGCGCAAGCCUGAACCAGCCACGCCGCGUGAGUGAUGAAGGCCUUCGGGUCGUAAAGCUCUGUGGGGAGGGAAGAAAACGGCGCGUAAGAAACGACGCGUCCUUGACGGUACCUCCUUAGCAAGCACCGGCUAACUCUGUGCCAGCAGCCGCGGUAAUACAGAGGGUGCGAACGUUGCUCGGAAUUACUGGGCGUAAAGCGCGUGUAGGCGGGACCGUAAGUCAGAUGUGAAAUCCCCGAGCUCAACUCGGGAACUGCAUCUGAAACUGCGGACCUUGAGUACUGGAGAGGGCGGCGGAAUUCCUGGUGUAGAGGUGAAAUUCGUAGAUAUCAGGAGGAACACCGGUGGCGAAGGCGGCCGCCUGGACAGUCACUGACGCUGAGACGCGAAAGCGUGGGGAGCAAAC
rnacentral:rRNA from 1 species